GACUACAGCCAUGCCACCCUGAAUAAGCCUGACCCUGUCUGAUCUUGGAAGCUAAGCAGGGUCAGGCCUGGUUAGUACUUGGAUGGGAGACCACCUAGGAAGACCAGGUGCUGUAGGCG
rfam:Pteropus alecto contig106196, whole genome shotgun sequence.